rnacentral:rRNA from 1 species
AAAGCCAAUCUCAGUUCGGAUUGUAGGCUGCAACUCGCCUACAUGAAGUUGGAAUCGCUAGUAAUCGCGAAUCAGAAUGUCGCGGUGAAUACGUUCCCGGGUCUUGUACACACCGCCCGUCACACCACGAGAGUUUACAACACCCGAAGUCAGUGGCCUAACCGCAAGGAGGGAGCUGCCUAAGGUGGGGUAGAUGAUUGGGGUGAAGUCGUAACAAGGUACC